UACGUAGGGGGCAAGCGUUGUCCGGAAUCAUUGGGCGUAAAGCGCGUGUAGGCGGCCUUGUAAGUCCGUUCUGAAAGUCCGGGGCUCAACCCCGGGAGGCGGAUGGAUACUGCAAGGCUCGAGUACGGAAGAGGCGAGUGGAAUUCCCGGUGUAGCGGUGAAAUGCGCAGAUAUCGGGAGGAACGCCAAUGGCGAAGGCAGCUCGCUGGGACGUUACUGACGCUGAGACGCGAAAGCGUGGGGAGCAAACAGG
rnacentral:rRNA from 1 species